GACGAACGCUGGCGGCGUGCCUAAUACAUGCAAGUUGAGCGCUGAAGGUUGGUACUUGUACCAACUGGAUGAGCAGCGAACGGGUGAGUAACGCGUGGGGAAUCUGCCUUUGAGCGGGGGACAACAUUUGGAAACGAAUGCUAAUACCGCAUAAAAACUUUAAACACAAGUUUUAAGUUUGAAAGAUGCAAUUGCAUCACUCAAAGAUGAUCCCGCGUUGUAUUAGCUAGUUGGUGAGGUAAAGGCUCACCAAGGCGAUGAUACAUAGCCGACCUGAGAGGGUGAUCGGCCACAUUGGGACUGAGACACGGCCCAAACUCCUACGGGAGGCAGCAGUAGGGAAUCUUUGGCAAUGGACGAAAGUCUGACCGAGCAACGCCGCGGGAGUGAAGAAGGUUUUCGGAUCGUAAAACUCUGUUGGUAGAGAAGAACGUUGGUGAGAGUGGAAAGCUCAUCAAGUGACGGUAACUACCCAGAAAGGGACGGCUAACUACGUG
rnacentral:rRNA from 1 species